rnacentral:rRNA from 1 species
UACGAAGGGGGCUAGCGUUGCUCGGAAUCACUAGGCGUAAAGCGCACGGUAGGCGGAUUGUUAAGUCGGGGGUGAAAUCCUGGAGCUCAACUCCAGAACUCGCCCUUUGAUACUGGGCAAUCUCGAGUCCGGGAGAGGUGAGUGGGAACUGCGAGUGUAGAGGUGAAAUUCGUAGAUAUUCGCAAGAACACCUGCGGCGAAGGCGGGUUGC